rnacentral:rRNA from 1 species
AGAGUUUGAUCCUGGCUCAGGACGAACGCUGGCGGUCUGCCUCAUACAUGCAAGUCGAACGUGAAGCAGUAGCUUGCUACUGUGGAAAGUGGCGAACGGGUGAGUAACACGUAGACAAUCUGCCCCCAGGACUGGGAUAACAGCGGGAAACCGUUGCUAAUACCAGAUGUGCACACGGUGUCGUAUGGCACAGCGUGAAAAAGAUGGCCUCUUUACAAUGCUAUUGCCAGGGGAUGAGUCCGCGGUCUAUCAGCUUGUUGGUAAGGUAACGGCUUACCAAGGCUAUAACGGAUAGCCGGCUUGAGAGAGUGGCCGGCCACACUGGAACUGAGACACGGUCCAGACUCCCACGGGAGGCAGCAGUAGGGAAUUUUCCGCAAUGGGCGAAAGCCUGACGGAGCGAGACCGCGUGGAGGAUGAAGGCCCUCGGGUCGUAAACUCCUGUUGUGAGGGAAGAAAUGGAUAUGUUCUAACAGGUCAUAUCCUUGGCGGUACCUCACCAGAAAGCCACGGCUAAUUAUGUGCCAGCAGCCGCGGUAAUACAUAAGUGGCGAGCGUUGUCCGGAUUUAUUGGGCGUAAAGGGCGUGUAGGCGGAUUAGUAAGUCGGGGGUGAAAUCCCAGGGCUCAACCCUGGAACUGCCUUCGAAACUGCUAGUCUUGAGUGUCAGAGGGGAAGAUGGAAUUCCUAGUGUAGCGGUGAAAUGCGUUGAUAUUAGGGAGAACACCGGUGGCGAAGGCGAUCUUCUGGCUGACAACUGACGCUGAGACGCGAAAGCCUGGGUAGCAAACGGGAUUAGAUACCCCGGUAGUCCAGGCCGUAAACGAUGGGCACUAGGUGUCGGGAGUGAACAGCUCUCGGUGCCGGAGUUAACGCAUUAAGUGCCCCGCCUGGGGAGUACGGUCGCAAGAUUAAAACUCAAAGGAAUUGACGGGGGCCCGCACAAGCGGUGGAGCAUGUGGUUCAAUUCGAUGAUACGCGGGAACCUUACCUGGUCUUGACAUCCAGUGCCAAACCUAGAGAUAGGUCGUUCUAUAGCAAUAUAGACGCUGUGACAGGUGGUGCAUGGCUGUCGUCAGCUCGUGUCGUGAGAUGUUGGGUUAAGUCCCGCAACGAGCGCAACCCUUACCGUUAGUUACCAGCAUUUAGGAUGGGGACUUUAACGGAACCGCCUGUAAGAACAGGAGGAAGGUGGGGAUGACGUCAAGUCAUCAUGCCCCUUACGACCAGGGCUACACACGUGCUACAAUGACCAUUACAACGGGACGCGAUACCGCGAGGUGGAGCAAAUCCCAAAAAAAUGGCCUAAGUUCGGAUCGGAGUCUGCAACUCGACUCCGUGAAGUUGGAAUCGCUAGUAAUCGCGAAUCAGCUUAUCGCGGUGAAUACGUUCCCGGGCCUUGUACACACCGCCCGUCACACCACCCGAGUUGAUUGUACCCGAAGUGGCUGAGCUAACCGAAAGGAAGCAGGUCCCUAAGGUGUGGUUGGUAAGGGGGGUGAAGUCGUAACAAGGUA